CAAGAAAGUUGUUUAAUUCAUAUUCCGAAAUAUAGAGAACCAAAUGUUGCAAACAAAUUAAUUGACAGGUGUAAGUCUCGUGAUGAUCUUUGCUUGCCGGAGGUUCUAGCUGUACUUGGCAUCAACCUGGUUGGCCUGAUAUGUUGCAGAGAUUGUGUUUUUGUUUUUUUGUUUUUUGUGUGGGGGUAGUACAUACUCUUUUUCUUUAAAGCACUAUGUACACGGUUGGCAACUCAACAUCUACAUUUAUUGCAUCGUGAUCCACACAUGACCUUAAUGUUAUGUCACGAUAUACAUGGCUAUACAUGGCUAUUGUUUAUAUAUGGCAAUACAUAGCUAUCUUUGUGUAUACAUGGCUAUCAGUAGUUACACACAGCUAAUCAUCAAUAUGUCUGGGAUUAAUACCGUUAUUUUAUCAUUAUGAACUAUGAAAUACUGAUCUCUCGUUGGCUCUUCAAAAUGCUAUUGGGACCCUGCACUUUUUGUGCUACUGCGCUGAGGAAUUCUCCACAGGGUUGAUUCGACUCUGUUAACGUACGUCAUUCUUGUUUGAUAUUGACCGACAGUGGUCGUCUUAUUACCGGGCACCAGGCUGCUUUUCCAAUAACGAUCACCGAGUUUGAAUUGCCCUAUGACUAGAGAUCGGUGACAUUGUGUCAAGUUCACCUUAUCACAUCUAAAAGAAGCAAAAAAGUAAACUGACGGAAUAUGAAACCAAACUCGAACCAUAGUUGACUAGUUCUAACGAAAAUGUCGUUAAUUAUUGGAAUAAUCUUAGGCUUCGUGUUCAUUAAAAUUGUCCUAAAUACAUAUAUACAUUCUACCCCUCCUCAUUAACCUUUUUUGCCCCUUAAAACAGACUACCGCAAUGAUACAAAAGUACAGCAAGUACAUGCUUUGGUUCACACGAAACCUAGUAUUUUAACUCUCAAAAUCUUGAAAAAUCAACAGCUUACAUGGAGAAAAAUGUACGGUUUGCACUCCACAUUCAUGAUCGGUCAGCAUCGAUUUUCUUUCUGCAGGGCUUUUGGCAUCAGGGACAAUAGUCAGGAAAAAUGUACACUGAAGCGAAGCUUAUUCUUAUUA